GACGAACGCUGGCGGCGUGCCUAAUACAUGCAAGUAGAACGCUGAAGAGAGGAGCUUGCUCUUCUUGGAUGAGUUGCGAACGGGUGAGUAACGCGUAGGUAACCUGCCUUGUAGCGGGGGAUAACUAUUGGAAACGAUAGCUAAUACCGCAUAACAAUGGGUGACACAUGUCAUUUAUUUGAAAGGGGCAAUUGCUCCACUACAAGAUGGACCUGCGUUGUAUUAGCUAGUAGGUGAGGUAACGGCUCACCUAGGCGACGAUACAUAGCCGACCUGAGAGGGUGAUCGGCCACACUGGGACUGAGACACGGCCCAGACUCCUACGGGAGGCAGCAGUAGGGAAUCUUCGGCAAUGGGGGCAACCCUGACCGAGCAACGCCGCGUGAGUGAAGAAGGUUUUCGGAUCGUAAAGCUCUGUUGUAAGUCAAGAACGAGUGUGAGAGUGGAAAGUUCACACUGUGACGGUAGCUUACCAGAAAGGGACGGCUAACUACGUGCCAGCAGCCGCGGGUAAUACGUAGGUCCCGAGCGUUGUCCGGAUUUACUGGGCGUAAAGCGAGCGCAGGCGGUUUGAUAAGUCUGAAGUUAAAGGCUGUGGCUCAACCAUAGUUCGCUUUGGAAACUGUCAAACUUGAGUGCAGAAGGGGAGAGUGGAAUUCCAUGUGUAGCGGUGAAAUGCGUAGAUAUAUGGAGGAACACCGGUGGCGAAAGCGGCUCUCUGGUCUGUAACUGACGCUGAGGCUCGAAAGCGUGGGGAGCGAACAGGAUUAGGAUACCCUGGUAGUCCAAGGGCGAAUUUCACAGUGGAUAUCAAGCUUAUCGAUACCGUCGACCUCGAGGGGGGCCCGGUACCAGCUUUGUUCCUUUAGGAGGGGUAAUAACG
rnacentral:rRNA from 1 species